rnacentral:rRNA from 1 species
GACGAACGCUGGCGGCGUGCCUAAUACAUGCAAGUAGAACGCUGAAGAGAGGAGCUUGCUCUUCUUGGAAGAGUUGCGAACGGGUGAGUAACGCGUAGGUAACCUGCCUUGUAGCGGGGGAUAACUAUUGGAAACGAUAGCUAAUACCGCAUAACAAUGGGUGACCCAUGUCAUUCAUUUGAAAGGGGCAACUGCUCCACUACAAGAUGGACCUGCGUUGUAUUAGCUAGUAGGUGAGGUAACGGCUCACCUAGGCGACGAUACAUAGCCGACCUGAGAGGGUGAUCGGCCACACUGGGACUGAGACACGGCCCAGACUCCUACGGGAGGCAGCAGUAGGGAAUCUUCGGCAAUGGGGGCAACCCUGACCGAGCAACGCCGCGUGAGUGAAGAAGGUUUUCGGAUCGUAAAGCUCUGUUGUAAGUCAAGAACGAGUGUGAGAGUGGAAAGUUCACACUGUGACGGUAGUUUACCAGAAAGGGACGGCUAACUACGUGCCAGCAGCCGCGGUAAUACGUAGGUCCCGAGCGUUGUCCGGAUUUAUUGGGCGUAAAGCGAGCGCAGGCGGUUUGAUAAGUCUGAAGUUAAAGGCUGUGGCUCAACCAUAGUUCGCUUUGGAAACUGUCAAACUUGAGUGCAGAAGGGGAGAGUGGAAUUCCAUGUGUAGCGGUGAAAUGCGUAGAUAUAUGGAGGAACACCGGUGGCGAAAGCGGCUCUCUGGUCUGUAACUGACGCUGAGGCUCGAAAGCGUGGGGAGCGAACAGG